rnacentral:rRNA from 1 species
GGAGUUUGGGCCGUGUCUCAGUCCCAAUGUGGCCGUUCAACCUCUCAGUCCGGCUACUGAUCGUCGUCUUGGUGGUCCGUUACACCGCCAACUAACUAAUCAGACGCGGGUCCAUCUCAUAGCGAUGAAUCUUUUCCCCCUGGACCAUGCGGUCCUGUGGGCUUAUGCGGUAUUAGCAGUCGUUUCCAACUGUUAUCCCCCUCUAUGAGGCAGGUUACCCACGCGUUACUCACCCGUCCGCCACUAAACUAAAACCGACUUCGACGAAUCUCCGUCAGUAAUAGUUCCGUUCGACUUGCAUGUGUUAGGCACGCCGCCAGCGUUCAUC